rnacentral:rRNA from 1 species
UACGUAGGGGGCUAGCGUUGUCCGGAAUCAUUGGGCGUAAAGCGCGUGUAGGCGGUCCGGUAAGUCCGCUGUGAAAGUCGGGGGCUCAACCCUCGGAUGCCGGUGGAUACUGUCGGGCUUGAGUACGGAAGAGGCGAGUGGAAUUCCUGGUGUAGCGGUGAAAUGCGCAGAUAUCAGGAGGAACACCCAUUGCGAAGGCAGCUCGCUGGGACGUUACUGACGCUGAGACGCGAAAGCGUGGGGAGCAAACAGG